rnacentral:rRNA from 1 species
UGGCGCAGCUUACCAUGCAGUCGAGCGGUAACAGGGGGUGCUUGCACCCCGCUGACGAGCGGCGGACGGGUGAGUAAUGCAUAGGAAUCUGCCCAGUAGUGGGGGAUAGCCCGGGGAAACCCGGAUUAAUACCGCAUACGCCCUUUGGGGGAAAGCAGGGGAUCUUCGGACCUUGCGCUAUUGGAUGAGCCUAUGUCGGAUUAGCUAGUUGGUGGGGUAAAGGCCUACCAAGGCGACGAUCCGUAGCUGGUCUGAGAGGAUGAUCAGCCACAUCGGGACUGAGACACGGCCCGAACUCCUACGGGAGGCAGCAGUGGGGAAUAUUGGACAAUGGGGGCAACCCUGAUCCAGCCAUGCCGCGUGUGUGAAGAAGGCUUUCGGGUUGUAAAGCACUUUCAGUGAGGAGGAAAACCUUCUGGUUAAUACCCAUGAGGCUUGACGUUACUCACAGAAGAAGCACCGGCUAACUCCGUGCCAGCAGCCGCGGUAAUACGGAGGGUGCAAGCGUUAAUCGGAAUUACUGGGCGUAAAGCGCGCGUAGGUGGUUUGAUAAGCGAGAUGUGAAAGCCCCGGGCUUAACCUGGGAACGGCAUUUCGAAC